rnacentral:lncRNA from 1 species
AUGGGGCUGGUGACUCAGGCCUCCAGCCCCAGUAGGUGGAGAGAAGUUUCCUCGCCUCGGCUGCACAUGCUUUGCAGAAGUUUGGCUGGAGCGGAGCGCGGAGCUGGGUGGGAGCGGCAGGGCAGUGCUGCAGGCGGCGGCGGCGGCGGCGGCAGAGCAGCAGGAGGCGGAGGCGGGCGGGGGGAGGGGAGGCGGCUGGGGGGGCGGAGGGGGCUCUUGCCGCCACUGCUCUCUCGCCGCCUCUCCCCCCCGGCGGGAGCCGCUCUCAGCCUCUUUGCACUAGUCGCUCCGCUCUCUCGGUCAUGUGACCUUAACGUAACCGGACAGGAAAAGCCCCGCCGCCGCCGCCGCCGCCGCGCCGGAGACACCGACCGCGGCGGCAGCAGCAGCAGCAGCAGCAGCGAGCGCAGAGGCGGCGGCGGCGGGGAGAGCGCGGCCAGGGCUGCCCAGCGGGGCCUCCUCCACACCCCCGCCGCAGCAGCAGCACCGGCGACAGGUAAGCGCGCGCCGCCUCCGCCUCCCGGGGCCGCUGCCCACGUGCCGCCCCCGGCCCGGGCUCCGGGGAGGCGGAGGGGGGCGGGAGCCGCCGGGGCUCGCCAACCGUGCCGGCAGCGACGGUGGCAACAAAGAGGACGAAUGACCCCGGCCCCGGGCUCGGGGGGAAGGCAGGCGGAGGGCCCGGAGCACACGGGCCUGGUUCUGGGAAGCGAGGGCUCGGGCGCCCCGCGGGGGCGGCGGCGGCGGCGCCUGGCGCCGGGGCUCUGGCCGCCUGACAAAACCAUCCCCCGGAGCCAGGCGGCGGCGAGUCGGCGGCGGCUCCAUCCGGGGCUUUGCGGGAGGGGGAGGGGACGGAAGCCGAGAGGGCGGGCGGCGGAUCGGAGGAGGGAGGAGGGAGGGAGGGAGGGAGGAAGGGGAGGGGGGCUAUUCGCGUUCCGUUCCCCGUCGCCGGUCCCUCCCUGCCCGCCGCCACCGCGAAGCGCGUCCCGAGCGGCGGCGGCCGGUGAGCGUCCCGCGCUGGAGCCCCGAGAGGCGGGCCCGUCAGGUGCGUACUCCUCCCGACGCCUCGCCGCCGCCUCCGGCUGCUGCCGCCGCUGCUUCUUCGGCGGCAAGGCCGCGCGAGCUGCGGAAGUGGGUUUGGGGGAGGGGAGCGGAGAGGGAGGGGGAGGGGAGGGAUCCGGUCCGACCGGAGCAGGCCCGGCCUCUCUGGCGCUUCUCCCAGCUGCAGCGGCUCCUACAGCUGCUGCCGCUACUGCUGUGGCUCCGCCUCCUCGCUCGCGGGCGGGGGCGCGCACGCGCGCUUCCGGCCUCCUCGGGUCUCGCGCUGUCUCCGGCUCUCGCGCGCGCUCUUCCCCUCUCCCUGUCUGGUCACCCCCCGCCCCCGGCGCCGGGGCUGUUGCGCCGGCCGGGGCGUUGCGCACGGCGUAG